rnacentral:rRNA from 1 species
CCCGCAACGAGCGCAACCCUUGCCAUUAGUUGCUACGAAAGGGCACUCUAAUGGGACUGCCGGUGACAAACCGGAGGAAGGUGGGGAUGACGUCAAGUCCUCAUGGCCCUUAUAGGUGGGGCUACACACGUCAUACAAUGGCUGGUACAGAGGGUUGCCAACCCGCGAGGGGGAGCUAAUCCCAUAAAGCCAGUCGUAGUCCGGAUCGCAGUCUGCAACUCGACUGCGUGAAGUCGGAAUCGCUAGUAAUCGCGGAUC